GCUCAGAUUGAACGCUGGCGGCAGGCCUAACACAUGCAAGUCGAACGGUAACAGGAAGCAGCUUGCUGCUUUGCUGACGAGUGGCGGACGGGUGAGUAAUGUCUGGGAAACUGCCUGAUGGAGGGGGAUAACUACUGGAAACGGUGGCUAAUACCGCAUAACGUCGCAAGACCAAAGAGGGGGACCUUCGGGCCUCUUGCCAUCAGAUGUGCCCAGAUGGGAUUAGCUUGUUGGUGAGGUAACGGCUCACCAAGGCGACGAUCCCUAGCUGGUCUGAGAGGAUGACCAGCCACACUGGAACUGAGACACGGUCCAGACUCCUACGGGAGGCAGCAGUGGGGAAUAUUGCACAAUGGGCGCAAGCCUGAUGCAGCCAUGCCGCGUGUAUGAAGAAGGCCUUCGGGUUGUAAAGUACUUUCAGCGGGGAGG
rnacentral:rRNA from 1 species